rnacentral:tRNA from 1 species
GGCAGUAUAGCUCAGUGGUAGAGUGUGUGCCUAGCAUGCAUGAGGUCCUGGGUUCAACCACCAGUACCUCCA